UUGAGGAUGUGUAUGGCUAUGCCCUUGAGAAAACAGAGAAUUUUGCUGUUCUCGAGGGCGUCAAAUUGUUAAAGGCUGGGUGGGCUCAGCUCCGGAUGGUUAAGCACAAGUCGGAGCGUUACGUCUUCGGCCGAGACCUUGUCAUACCGCUUUGAUAUUUUGUAGUACUUCAUCUAUGCCAAGUGAGGUCUCUUAGUUCAACCGGUGUAGUCUAGUCCCGCGCGGCUGGCGUUAUGGCGUCGGUGGAAUCAAUGCAUGGAAAACGAAACAACGAAACGAGGGCAGUCUGCACGUAGUACCAGCGCCUCAAAUCCAAUCCAACUGAAACAAUCAAAAGAAGCGAUCGAAAGAAACCCUCUCCAACUACAGGCGCGUCCAAGCCAGGCGAACCAAAACAAGUCCGGCCAGGUCUUCCCUCUUCCGCCCAGCCGCACGUGCACCUUUUUCUUUUUCUUCGAUUGAUUUGAUUUGAGGGAGUGCACGUACACCUCAUACGUACGUACGUGCGUGCUUACCCUCUCUUAUUCUUCAUGUUUUUCUUUUUUAUAACGCAUCGUAGCUGCUUCAAACCUUCAACCGCAUCACGUAAAAAAAAAACCUUGAACCGCAUCACGUCAAAAAAAAAACCUUCAACCGCAUGCAUGCCGGACUAGGCACGUACACGCACACACAACUUUUACACGUGCACAUUCGCAAAAAUAAAAGACAGGACUUUUACACGUACACGUAUGUACGUGCUUUUUUCUUUUGCAAUUCACCUAGCUAGACGCGACUGCGCGCACAACACUUUUGCACAUCGUUCCUGUUAAAAAAACUUUUUAACGUCCUUCCUGUUAAAAAAAAGAACUUUUGCACGUCGUUCGUGCUCCUAUCCGUCUAUCUCCCUCAUACUACCUCCGGUCCUUUUUAGUAUCUCUACUCCUAAGGGAGCAGUUGGUAGUCUCGCUUCCAGGUGUUUUUUAGUCCCACCUCCCACGGUUUAUUUUGGUACCUCCUCCCACCUCUGACUAAGACAUCACAAACCGAAAAAACCUCCUCCUGAGGCCCGAACCCGCACCUAUCCACAUGCGACCCUCAAAAGACGUACGAAAGUUAACUUGCGACAAAAAAAACCUACGACGGUUAACCAGCGACGAGUCCUGUUCUCGAGCGAGGCCUCCCUUCGUGGCCGCCCUACAUCCCUGCGCCGCCGCGCUUCAGUCGCUGCCCUCCAUCCUCGCCGCCCUCCAUCCUGGUCGAGGUCGCCGCCCCGCUUCACUCGCCGUCCUCCAUCCGCGUCGAUCCUGGACAAGGUCGCCGCGGCCCUCCAUCACUUUGCCGCCGCUCUGAACACCUCGACGAGCCGGCGCGGGUCCUGGAUCAGGUCGCCGCUGCCCUCCAUCACUUCGCCGCCGCGCUGAACUCCUCGCCCUUGAUCCAGGAUCCGGCGCCAAUCCUGGGCGAGGAUAAGCGGACACGUCCAGGAUCCGGCCAGAACACGUCCUGGAUCCGAAAAAUAGGUAUACAAACCAUCUCAUACGUCAAUCGCAUCUCAUACAUCUCAAAGGCCAUACAAUCGCAUCUCAUACAUCUCACAGCCCAUACAUCCAUCGCAUGUCAUACAGCAAUGGCAAGUGCUUUCACAGGGAUGGAUCCGCCUGCGAGAUUGAUUUCUGUUCUACAUAGUUUAGGUUUUUUUCCAUGUUAAAACUAGACUCAAGUACACAUGUUUAAAGAUGGCAAUUGGCAAAAAAAAUACCAAGGGGUAUCCUGCAUCCUGCACUUGUAUAAAUAUGGCAAAAAAGAAAACACAAACCAUACAGGACCCUAGAGUAUGUUUCCACUUGUGCUGAACUGAAGAUAGAACAAAAACACUUGCAUUCUAAGAAAGUACAGAGAUGUAGAAGAUGUAGAUGAAAGUGCCAUUGCAGUAUUUAUGUAGAAUAAAAUACAAUUGCAGUAUAUGCUAGCAACAGGUUGCAGUAUAUAUGUAGAACAAUAACCCUUCCAGAAUGUCAUCAAAUAACUACCAUUUCUGUCUUCAUGAUUUUUGGCAUUCAAUAGUUGCAUAUGGGGAAUUCAAAAAGCACGGUCGGCGAACAUCAACCUGAAGAUGACGUAACUACAGGUAUGAUGCACUCUACCAUGUUUUCGUUUAGUUGCGAGACCUGAAUAUAUGACAGUAUGCAUAAUGUCUUCCAGGUCUUACAAGCGGGAGAAGUGAUGCAGAACACAAUGCGAGCAUCAUACCCGUAGCUGAAAUUGUUGAUAACGUCUACUCGACGGAAUCAGUCCUUACGGGCGGGAUAAAUGUUGGAGACUACAAUGCAAACUUCAUACCCUUACAUGCAGGGCGGGAACCUUCAAACGACGGGAUUCCGUCGUAUUCUGAGAAUAAUAAGGAUGGUACGACUAAGCUACGAGAUGAUACUCAAGAUGACAAAACUUCCGAGCAGCAUGCAACAGUAGCUGUAUUUAAUGAAGAAAAAAAACGUUGGCGAAACAAGGGAGCAGUUCAACGCACAGAGGCGUGAAUC